rnacentral:lncRNA from 1 species
UGUUUUUGAAUACUUGCUUUUGGUUACUUGUAUCUCUUAUAUAUUGUAGUCUUUAGAGUGUGUAGGAGAUGUCACAUGGUGUCCAGAUCUAAUUUAACUUCUUGAACGUUUGCUUGAAACUAUGUUUCAGUUACUUUAUACGCAUUCGGUUGCAUACAGCAUGGCAAUAACUUCAAGAUCAAAACAUUUGAUUUUUUUCCACUAAUUAUAGUGAAGAUGAUACAGAUCUGAUGACUCUAAACAUUUUAAUGGUGGAUGAUGAUAAUGUAAAACUUGCAAUCUACGUAAAAAAGCAUGUGCAUACUUCUUAGUUCUGAUACACAUGCAUUUCUCUAUACUCCUUGAACGGAAAGAGAUAUCACGAAAUCUGGC